CGAGUGCCCCAAGCGUUAUCCGGAAUCACUGGGCGUAAAGGGUGUGUAGGCGGCCAUGUUAGUCCUAUGUAAAAUUCUUCGGCUUAACCGGGGGCUCGCAUAGGAAACGGCAUAGCUUGAGGAUGCGAGAGGUAUAUGGAACUCAUAGUGUAGGGGUGAAAUCCGUUGAUAUUAUGGGGAACACCAAAUGCGAAGGCAAUAUACUGGCGCACUCCUGACGCUGAAACACGAAAGCGUAGGUAGCGAAUGGGAUUAGAUACCCCAGUAGUCUACGCCCUAAACGAUGAUCUCUAGCUUUUCGGAGUAUCGACCCUCUGAGAGGCGAAGCUAACGCGUUAAGAGAUCCGCCUGGGUAGUACGGCCGCAAGGCUA
rnacentral:rRNA from 1 species